ensembl:lncRNA
GUCGGGCUGGCUGAGCCACCCGGCUCGGCCCGGUGGCCCCAGGGGCCUCCACCCGGGCCUCCGAGAAGAGCGGGGACGGGACCGCCCGGCUCGCCCGCCUCCCUCCCCAGCCCGCGCGGUCGGCCGCGGCCACCUUAGGCCUUCCCGGGCGGCGGGACGGACAGACGGACGGGCCCGCGGGGCUGAGGGGCGGCCGGGGAGGGAGCGGGCGUGCGCGGCUGGCCGGGGACGGCGCUUUUUCACCGUUAGCGUCGUUAUGUGGUUACCUGUGCGCGGCAGGGCUCCCCAGCUCCUACUCCCUGAUCCUCCUCCCCUCCUUCCUCUCUCUCUCUCUGUUUCUCACUCUCUCGCUCUCUGUGUGUCUCCCCCUCAGUCUGCCGGGCUCUCGUGGAACCUGAAGGGCGGGAGGUGGCGGCGGUGACCGGCAGGCACGUGACCACGCUCGCGCCGUCACGGCGUCCGUCCGCCUGCCUCCCUCCCGGCGCUCCACCUCUGCUAACCCGGGGCCGGUGCGCAGGCGCGCGGCCGGCGGGGCGAGCCGGCGGGCGGGGCUCGGGGCCGCCCGGGGCUGGGGUCUGGGCUGGGACGGAGCGACGGGGUCGGACCGCGCGUAGGGCCUCCGCCCUUCCUGUGCGGCCACCGCAAGUCCCGGCCGCCGGCUUCCCAGAGUGGGGCUGGCGAGCAGCGAAGUCUGCUCGGGGAAGGUCCUGGGAGUCUGGCGCUCCUGCCCAGGGACACCUGUAAAUGGCCUUCCCGUCGCCACUGGGCCGCAGCUGUGCAGAUGUAGCUCUCAACUACUUCUCCAGCACCAUGUUUGCCAUCCAGGCUGAUCAACCAUGAUGAUAAUGGGCUAAACUGACACUUGUCUCUGCAUGUUUGUGAACAGUUGUUAGCUGAAGUUGCAGUCCAUCUGUGUUUGCAGCCUCCAGGGGUUGGUAGCAAAGUUUAUAAUAUCAGAUAGACUGCCAGAUCCUGACAGUGACCCAAAGUCUCCAAAGAAGAUCAUGAGGCACCCCAGUUCCUGCACCUGGACCAGUGAGCGAGAUGCUCAGAUAUGAUACCUGCUGCCUGCCAGAACCUGGCUAAGACUGUGGACAAAGCUGCUGGACACUGGAAAAUUGAUUGCACCCCCUUUGCCUAGACAAAACAAGGUUUCUGCUUCUGGCAGACACAUCUGAGUACCAGUUGCUGACUACAGACUGUUCCGAAAUAGACUGUGAGCCCUGGACUUGCUGUGGAUGUGAACCAGUCCAGCUGAUGUGGACACCCCCUGUCUCUGCAACAGAGUCUGCCAACAGCCCCUGAUGGAUUCCCCAUUGCCUAAAUUCCUUUUUUAUUUAUUUAUUUAUUUAUUUAUUUAUUUAUUUAUUUAUUUAUUUGCUUUUGGCUAGCAUUUCAACCUUCUGGGGUCCCUAACUUGUCCCAAAGUCAGCAGGAAGUAGUAUGGGAAAGAAUAUGCCGCCCAUUUUCCCUGGUUAAAAUGCUAAGUCAGAAGGAACUCCCUUACAAGGGGAUGCCAAUAUCUCUCACUCCCUGAUGGGGGCGCUAGAGAGACAGAAAUUCCAUGAUUGGAAUUUUCAAAAAAAAUGGGGGAAUGAAGGGAUCAGCUCCCCAUUUCAGCAGCCAUAACAGCUGAACACGUGCUUGUCUGACCUUGUCCUAGUCACUAAAAUGUCAGAUGCCUGCCUCAUGGCAAGGAACCAAUCAGAAGUUAGCUGGUGGCGCUAUGCUUUACGGCUCUUGGUGUACUUUACAGACAAGUGCACAGCAAUGACGUGCAGAGCAUAGCAACCACCUUGGGAGGGCCUAUGGGCCAUAACAACCACUUGGCCAAUCAACACAGGGCAAGUCUUUCCUAGCCAUCCACCAUGGCGGGUGGAUGAAAGGCCCGAGCUAACAUGGGGUUAGCUUGUUAAACAUCAAUAAAGCCUCGUGCAGUUUGCAUCAAGCUUUCGAAU